UAGAGCACACAGCAACCAACUCUCCUUGGAGUGCUAAAGCUUAGGUCCCAUUCAUAGAUUUACGAGUUUCUCAUUGAGGGCAAUCUGGGACUGUGUGAGGUUGGCUAGGUAGGUCACCAUCAGUAGGUCAUUGAUAUUGCUGUUGAGCAUGGUCUCAAAGUCGUCCGGAAUGAUUUUGGGUACUUGGUUAACCAGACUCAUCAAGAAGCGGCCCACAGUAUUGUCAGCUGACACUUUUCCAGACAGUACGUCCUCCGCAUAUUGC